GCGGUGUGGGAUGGGCCCGCGGCCUAUCAGCUUGUUGGUGGGGUAAUGGCCUACCAAGGCGACGACGGGUAGCCGGCCUGAGAGGGUGACCGGCCACACUGGGACUGAGAUACGGCCCAGACUCCUACGGGAGGCAGCAGUGGGGAAUAUUGCACAAUGGGCGCAAGCCUGAUGCAGCGACGCCGCGUGAGGGAUGACGGCCUUCGGGUUGUAAACCUCUUUCAAUAGGGACGAAGCGCAAGUGACGGUACCUAUAGAAGAAGGACCGGCCAACUACGUGCCAGCAGCCGCGGUAAUACGUAGGGUCCGAGCGUUGUCCGGAAUACUGGGCGUAAAGAGCUCGUAGGUGGUUUGUCGCGUUGUUCGUGAAAACUCACAGCUUAACUGUGGGCGUGCGGGCGAUACGGGCAGACUAGAGUACUGCAGGGGAGACUGGAAUUCCUGGUGUAGCGGUGGAAUGCGCAGAUAUCAGGAGGAACACCGGUGGCGAAGGCGGGUCUCUGGGCAGUAACUGACGCUGAGGAGCGAAAGCGUGGGGAGCGAACAGGAUUAGAUACCCUGGUAGUCCACGCCGUAAACGGUGGGUACUAGGUGUGGGUUUCCUUCCUUGGGAUCCGUGCCGUAGCUAACGCAUUAAGUACCCCGCCUGGGGAGUACGGCCGCAAGGCUAAAACUCAAAGAAAUUGACGGGGGCCCGCACAAGCGGCGGAGCAUGUGGAUUAAUUCGAUGCAACGCGAAGAACCUUACCUGGGUUUGACAUGCACAGGACGCCAGUAGAGAUAUUGGUUCCCUUGUGGCCUGUGUGCAGGUGGUGCAUGGCUGUCGUCAGCUCGUGUCGUGAGAUGUUGGGUUAAGUCCCGCAACGAGCGCAACCCUUAUCUUAUGUUGCCAGCGCGUAAUGGCGGGGACUCGUGAGAGACUGCCGGGGUCAACUCGGAGGAAGGUGGGGAUGACGUCAAGUCAUCAUGCCCCUUAUGUCCAGGGCUUCACACAUGCUACAAUGGCCGGUACAAAGGGCUGCGAUGCCGUGAGGUGGAGCGAAUCCUUUCAAAGCCGGUCUCAGUUCGGAUCGGGGU
rnacentral:rRNA from 1 species